rnacentral:pre_miRNA from 15 species
UGAUCACCACCAGACGUCUAUUACUUGCAGUCAGUAACAAAGAUUCAUCCUUGUGUCCAUCGAGCAGCAAGGAGAGUCUUUGUCACUUAGUGUAAUUAAUAGCUGUGCCUCGCGUGGAAAU